rnacentral:misc_RNA from 1 species
GAUGAAGAACGUAGCGAAAUGCGAUAAGUAAUGUGAAUUGCAGAAUUCAGUGAAUCAUCGAAUCUUUGAACGCACAUUGCGCCCCUUGGUAUCCCGAGGGGCAUGCCUGUUCGAACGUCAUUUCACCACUCAAGCCUGGCUUGGUGUUGGGCGACGUCCUCUUUGGGGACGCGCCUCGAAACGCUCGGCGGCGUGGCACCGGCUUUAAGCGUAGCAGAAUCUUUCGCUUUGGAAGUCGGGGCCCCGUCUGCCGGAAGACCUGCUCGCAAGGUUGACCUCGGAUCAGGCAGGGAUACCCGCUGAACUUAAGCAUAUCAAUAAGCGGAGGA